UACGGAGGGCGCGAGCGUUAAUCGGAAUUACUGGGCGUAAGGCGCGCGUAGGCUGUUGUGUAAGUUGGGGGUGAAAUCCCACGGCUCAACCGUGGAACAGCCCUUGAUACUGCGCGACUUGAAUCCGGGAGAGGGUGGCGGAAUUCCAGGUGUAGGAGUGAAAUCCGUAGAUAUCUGGAGGAACAUCAGUGGCGAAGGCGGCCACCUGGACCGGUAUUGACGCUGAGGCGCGAAAGCGUGGGGAGCAAACAGG
rnacentral:rRNA from 1 species